UUUCCCUCAGGAUAGCUGGCACUCGCUUGAGCGAGUCUCAUCUGGUAAAGCGAAUGAUUAGAGGCCUUGGGGCCGAAACGACCUCAACCUAUUCUCAAACUUUAAAUGGGUGAGAUCUCUGGCUUGCUUGAACGUUGAAGCCACGAGAGAGAUAUAUGAUUAAAAAUAUGGAUCAGAGUGCCAAGUGGGCCAAUUUUGGUAAGCAGAACUGGCGCUGUGGGA
rnacentral:rRNA from 1 species